rnacentral:rRNA from 1 species
AUUGAACGCUGGCGGCAUGCUUUACACAUGCAAGUCGAACGGCAGCGCGGGCUUCGGCCUGGCGGCGAGUGGCCAACGGGUGAGUAAUACAUCGGAACGUGCCCAGUAGUGGGGGAUAGCUCGGCGAAAGCCGGACUAAUACCGCAUACGACCUGAUGGUGAAAGCGGGGGAUCAUCGGACCUCGCGCUAUUUGAGCGGCCGAUGGCAGAUUAGCUAGUUGGUGGGGUAAAGGCCUACCAAGGCGACGAUCUGUAGCUGGCCUGAGAGGACGACCAGCCACACUGGGACUGAGACACGGCCCAGACUCCUACGGGAGGCAGCAGUGGGGAAUUUUGGACAAUGGGCGAAAGCCUGAUCCAGCAAUGCCGCGUGUGUGAUGAAGGCCUUCGGGUUGUAAAGCACUUUUGGCGGGAACGAAAAGGACUGUGCCAAUACCACGGUUCGAUGACGGUACCCGCAGAAUAAGCACCGGCUAACUACGUG